UGGGGAAUUUUGGACAAUGGGCGCAAGCCUGAUCCAGCAAUGCCGCGUGCAGGAAGAAGGCCUUCGGGUUGUAAACUGCUUUUGUACGGAACGAAACGGUCUGGGUUAAUACCCUGGGCUAAUGACGGUACCGUAAGAAUAAGCACCGGCUAACUACGUGCCAGCAGCCGCGGUAAUACGUAGGGUGCAAGCGUUAAUCGGAAUUACUGGGCGUAAAGCGUGCGCAGGCGGUUUUGUAAGACAGUCGUGAAAUCCCCGGGCUCAACCUGGGAAUUGCGAUUGUGACUGCAAAGCUGGAGUGCGGCAGAGGGGGAUGGAAUUCCGCGUGUAGCAGUGAAAUGCGUAGAUAUGCGGAGGAACACCGAUGGCGAAGGCAAUCCCCUGGGCCUGCACUGACGCUCAUGCACGAAAGCGUGGGGAGCAAACAGGAUUAGAUACCCUGGUAGUCCACGCCCUAAACGAUGUCAACUGGUUGUUGGGUCUCUUCUGACUCAGUAACGAAGCCAACGCGUGAAGUUGACCGCCUGGGGAGUACGGCCGCAAGGCUG
rnacentral:rRNA from 1 species